GGGUGCAAUCAUGCCAGCACUAAUGCACCGGAUCUCAUUAGAACUCCACAGUUAAGCCUGCUUAGGCGAGAGUAGUACUAGUGUGGGUGACCUCUUGGGAAGUCCUGGUGUUGCACCCC
rfam:Gossypium arboreum cultivar AKA8401 contig_16303_3, whole genome shotgun sequence.